ACCCGAAUUUGAAACAUAAUAUGGCACUUCAAUAGGUUGAUCCCAAGUGCCAAAAAAUAGAUUAUAAGACAAUUUCUUCGGUUUUAGGUCAAAGGGCUGUCAUUCCUAUUUAAUUUCUUUCUUAGCAAUAAAAAAGUAUAAAUAUAAUUUGUCAUCAAUAUCUACAAUUUUUUAGUUAAAAUAUUUAUUUUAGUUGUAUUUUGUACUUUUAAUUCAAAAAAUAUGC
rnacentral:lncRNA from 1 species